rnacentral:tRNA from 1 species
GGGCGGUUCGUAUAACGGGAUUACUCACGGCCUGCAACCGUGAAAUGCGAGUUCAAUUCUCGCACCGUCCACCA